rnacentral:rRNA from 1 species
UACGGAGGGGGCGAGCGUUAUUCGGAAUUAUUGGGCGUAAAGGGCGCGUAGGCGGCUUGAUAAGUCAAAGGUGAAAUCCCUCGGCUCAACUGAGGAACUGCCUUUGAAACUGUCAGACUUGAGGCUGGGAAGGGGUAGCGGAAUUCCCAGUGUAGCGGUGAAAUGCGUAGAUACUGGGAGGAACACCGGUGGCGAAGGCGGCUACCUGGACCGGUUCUGACGCUGAUGCGCGAAAGCGUGGGUAGCAAACAGG